GAAGAGGUCUAGACCACGAUAUUCGUAUAGGUACACUGUGAGAGUAGAGGGACGUAAACAAGGAAGGUUAGAUUUGGUAAAUUGUUUCCUGUAAUAAAUCGACAUUUAAAAUACAAAUAAAUCAGUAUUUAAGUAAGGUAUCACAUAUUGGCGACAGUGGAAGGGAUUUUUGUUCUACCGAAGAAUUGAUCGGAAACGAAGCUGGUACUGUGGCAUAGCGCAAGGUCUUAGAGACUGUAAACUAAACGGAAGCGGCUGUUUCGAGCAGCGCAGGUCAAUAGACUGUAAUCUGGAAGCGGCUAUUACACAGUACGGGGAAAGGUCAGAGAAGACUGAAAACGGAAAGCGGCUGUUUCGAGCAGCGCUAAGGUCCCGGAGACUGAAAAGUAGGAAACGCGUAUCGCAGCUUACUGGAAACCUGGAAAAGCUGACUCGAGGCAAUACCGACACCCUGAACGAGUCGGCUAACCAGUCAUGGACAGGUUCGACAUUCCAGCAUUCAAGUUCAAACAGAUUCCUCCCAACGAAGUCCGUGAUGAAUGGGUUCGAUACAAACGACAUUUCGAGUACCUGGCUCUAGCCAACGCGAUCACGAAUAAGACGCGAUUGAAGCAUAUAUUCCUGGCCAAAGCCGGACCAGAUGUCCAGGAGGUUUUUAGCAGCAUUCCAGGGGCAGAUGUAGA